rnacentral:lncRNA from 1 species
CAGCCUCCCAAAGUGCUGGGAUUACAGGUAUGAGCCACCAUGCCCGGACCCAAAGCAAUUUUCUAAAAAUGAAAAUGUCAUUCUGUCACACACACACACACACACACACACACACACACCCCUGCCACCUGAGACAUCUGCACUGUAAAUGGCUCAACGGGUACCAUUUUCUAUGAGAUAAAGAUUGAGGUCCCCUGACCUGACCCCACCCACCUCUUCCAGUUUCCCUUGCUAUUCCCCUCCCUCCCCUCCUGGUCCAUGCCUGUUCGCUCUUAAAUAUGCCCGGCUGUUUCUAAACCUUCUGGUCUUUGACAAUCCUCUCCUUUCAUCCUUGAUCAGCUCUCCUCACCUGGCUCACCAGGAAAACACCUACUCAUCUUUCCAGAUUCAGCCGAUCAUCAUCUCCUCCAUGAAGACCUUUUCUGACCUUUGCUGCUUUUGUCCUUUGUAACUGAUUAUAUAGGGCUCCACACAGGCUGCUAUCCUACCCAGUGGAAAAUUUCUUUGCAUUUACUUCUUUACCUGCUUAGCCCCUGCCCCUUAUAGGCUAAAAGCUCCUUGAAAACAAGAAAUAUGUUAUUUCAUCUUGGUAUCCCCAGUACCUAUGAUGAUGCUGCCAUUCAUUUAUUUGAUAAAAAUUCCUUAAGUGGCCACUAAGUUCCCUGCAUUGCAGCGGGCAGAGUAGACAGCAGAGACUGCGUAGUAGAAUAGCAGAUACUGCACUUGUUUGUCCAGUUCCCUUUAUUCCGUGGUGGUAGAUUUUUAAAUCUGGGUACAUUGACACCCAAUUAAAGGUUACAUUUGGCACCCCUCUUGCAAUUUUGUGGCCAUACGAACAAGUUCAAGCUAAUGGGAUGUGAGUGGAAGUGAUGUGUGCACCUUCUAGGUCUUGAUCUUAAAGGGGAAGGGAGUCCUUCCUUUUUCCUUUUCUUUUCCCGUUUUCUGCUGGUCUGAAUAUGCCUGUGACAGUGGGAGCGGGAGCAGCCCUUUUGGAUCCUGAGAGAGAAGCUACAAGUUAAGCGUGGCAGAACAAAUUAAAAGUAGAUUAAUUUCCCUUCAUCAUCAAGCCUUCACACCAUCCCUGAACUGUGUCUAAACUUACAUGAGAUAGAAGAAUUAAUGGACAGUCGAUUCAAACCAAUGCAUUUGGGGCCUGUUUCUUAAAGCAGCCUGCCCUGUACCUUGCUCAUAUAAAUGGUGUCUCAAGCAGAGAUGAUCUUUUUACUGAUGGAGCUUGUUUAGCAUAGACACUGAACACAUGGCUAAUGAAAUGAAUGAGUGAGUAAACAGUCCAAGGUCUAACCAGAACCAGCUAGAAAAAAUAAAUGAGUCAUUUGUCACAACAGGCAGAUAGCAUCGUAUCCUAUAAGGUUGAAAUUAUUUGGAGCCUGUGCUUCAGACAGUGGGUUUAGGCAUUGCAGCUUCACAACUCUAUCUGCCUCGCCCUCUGCAGACAGAGCCACUGUGGUCUUUUAAUUCUCCCUCCACGCGUUGUCUUUAUUCUGUUUCCUCCUAGCCUCUCCCAAAGCUGUAGCUCUAAUUUGGAUCCUUGUUACCUAUUACCUAACCCGUGGCACUAGUUAGUGAGCUGGCCUCUCCACCCUCCUGUCCUCCCCCAGAGCUGUUGCCAUGGCAAUCUUCCCCUGGCACAGUGCUGAUCAAAACCUUCCAGGGCUCCCCACUGCCUUCAGGUAACAGCCCAACCUCCUUAAAUUAUCUCCAGGCAUUGGCCCACCCCCUUCCCUGCCUUAACUCCCACUCACUGUCCUCACCUACGCGGUUUCCCUUCCCACGACACACUUGCCAUUCCCUUUCUAGAUGCUUAUUUUCAAGCUGAUCCCUUUCCCUGGAAUAACUUCUUUGUCCAGUUUCACUCCCACCUCUGCCUGUUAAAAUCCUACCCUUCUUUCGAAGUCCAACAAAAUGCUGCUUCUUUACGAUGCUUUUUUAUGUUUUAGGGUCAAAAGGAAUCUGUCUUCUCUCUGGACAUUCCUAGACUUCUUCAUUCGCAAUAUAACAUUUAUCACACUAGGAUUAGGAUGAAGUGCAGGCUGAGUAGAGUAGAAGAUAAUUCAGUACUAUUAUUAACAAUAACCACAAUAACAGUCAUAAUCAACAAGAUCUAAUCAUUCACUGAGUGCUUACUACAUGUCAUGUCCUAUCCUAAGAGCUUUUUUUUCUUUGAUGGAGUCUCUGUCACCAGACUGGAGUGCAGUGGUGUGAUCUUGGCUCACUGCAACCUCUGCCUCCUGGGUUCAAGUGAUUCUCCUGCCUCAGCCUCCUGAGUAGCUGGAACUACAGGCACGCACCACCAUACUCAGCUAAUUUUUGUAUUUGUAGUAGAAACAGGGUUUCACCAUGUUGGCCAGGAUGGUCUCGAUCUCUUGACCUUGUGAUCCGCCCACCUCGGCCUCCCGAAGUGCUGCUCCCAGGGCUUUAACUGCAUUAAAGCAUCCACAGCCCACAGCAAUCCUGUAGGUAGCUCCAUUUUAGAGCUGAGGAGGUCAUAGGCACAGAGAGGUUAAGCAACCUACCCAGGGUCACACUUCUGGGACUUUGAAUCUUGACCUGACCGUUUACUAAACAUAUUAACUUAGGUGAAUUAUUUCACCUCCUUGAGUCCCUAGUGUCUUCAUCUCUGAAUGGUUUUGUUGAGACAAUGGUAUGAUAUGCUGUAUGGGAAGUCUCUAAGCCAGCUCCAUGUACAUAGCAGGUACUCAACUCAUGCUAUCUCCUCAUCUGCAGGGCUGUAUCUUAUAGCAUGACUUCUCAUUUUUCUCUAGGUGGCAGGUGCCUACAAAAUGUUUGUUUACGCUGAAAAUUAUGUUUUGUGUUGGAUGACAAAGUUCCAGUCAUACUCUGCCCAAUAUCUCUCAACAUAAAUAAGGUAGCAUAGUGGUUACAGCACAGAGUUCUGGGUGUCCACUAAUCAUUUCUGUUUUACUACUAUGUUAGUAACAAAAAUAAUACAUUUUAACUCAAAAGAGUGAUUCAUAAGCUUCUCUUGCUGCUAGGUAUGACCACAAUCCCAGUUCUGGCCGAUGGUAUGUAGGCAGAGCCAAUGGAGGCAAACAGCCUCUCCUUUCCCUUCUUUCCUUCUUGUCACCUGGGAUGAGGAUGUGAAGGUGAAUCUUCAGGGACCAUGCAGAGCGGGCAACACGCUGGAGAUGGCAGCUGAGUGAGAAGAUCAAAGGAGCCUGGUUCGGACAGUUGACAUCAAGAUUGACACAUGAGAAACAAGAUGGACUUUGAAGGAAGACAACCACAACAACUCCUAGAUUACACAGUAAAGAUGCAUUUAAGCCAGCAUCUCUCAGAAUAAUUCCCUAAUAAAAAAAGUACUUGUUCAUAAUGUAGACUUCUGAGUUCCAUUCAGAAUGAUGAAGUCAAAACUUCAGAAUGAACAUUCCAGCUAAUUCUUAUGCAUGUUAAAAUGUUAAAAUUUUUAACAUAGGUGAUAAUAACUAAGUGGCUAAAAUUAAAAAGACUGAUACCACCAAAUGUUGGCAAGGAAGUAGGGCAACUGAAAUUAUUAUACAUAUCUGGCAGUUUAAAAUGAUAUAAUGACUUUGGAAAACUGUUCAGAAGUAUCUACUAAAGUGUAAUAUAUUAAUAAUUUAUUAUUAAUAAUAAAUAUAUUAUUUUUAUGAACUAGCAAUUCCACUCCUAGGUACAUACUGAAGAGAAGUGAUUGCACAUGUCCACAAAAAGACAUAGACAAACAUGCUCAUGGAAGAUUUAUUCAUAACUCCAAACUGCAACUAACCCAAAUUCUCAUCAACAAGCAAAUGGAUAAAUAAAUUGAGGUGUGUUUGUAUCAUCAAGAAAUAAUUGCUAGGUUUUAGAAAUAGGCCAGAGAUCCCUGGAUGUCCUCUUAUUGUCUGGCAAUACUAGGUGCUGUCUAGAGGACUCUCAAGGUUAUCUGAGUAUAGAGAGUGUAUGCUUUUCUUUCUAUUGCCUAAACAACUUUAAGUUACAGAAAACUGAUAGCAGUGCAAAUGUUUCCUGUUCAUAGCAAUGAAAAGGAUUCCUGUCCACAGCAAAGCAAACAGAUUCUGUCUGGUAGAGAAUAUAAAUCUCAGUAAUUCAAGUACAUUCUUAUUGAAACCUGUUUUUAGUGUUCUACUGAUUCCUUUAUUAAUGAAUCUGUUGAAUAAAAUCUUUGAUACAUGGUCAAUUUAUAUUUGCAUAAGAGUCAAGUUUUUAACUUAGGAAAAUUAUGAUUUAGAUGUAUACUUGACAAAUACACAGAUCUUAUGUUGAUUAAAAGAAGCUAAACACAC